GGCAAUUCAAUCGAUGAUUUUUAAUUGACAGUCUGCUUAUCUGGCUAUUUCGAUGGUAUCUAAGACAAGCCGAGGAGAUCCUCCCACCAAUCUCACUUGUCUGACCAAUUCAGUAGAUCAUAUUUUUAUUAGAUCACUAAUUGAUUCGAGCUGACCCAUGCCAUUGAGGUAAAUCAAUGUGACUGAUUUAGGUAUCUCUAGACCAGCUUGCAUCAAGUCUUCUUCAUGACUUGAUGGUCAGUAGGGGGACUUAUGACUCAC
rnacentral:lncRNA from 1 species